GGGAAUGGUGAUGGCCUUAGCUGAAGAGACAAAGAGAUGGAGUCUCACUCUGUUACCCAGGUUGGAGUGGAAUGGCGCGAUCUUGGCUCACUUCAACGUCCGCCUCCCGGGUUCGAGCGAUUCUCCUGCCUCACCCUCCUGUGUAGCUGGAACUACAGAUGCGUGCCACCAUGCCUGGCUAAUUUUUGUAUUUUUAGUAGAGACGGGGUUUCACCAUGUUGGCCAGGCUGGUCUCAAGCUCCUGAUCUCAGGCAAUCCACCCACCUCUGCCUGGGAUUGCAGGUGUGAGCCAUUGCGCCCAGCCUCUUUUGACAAUGUCUUUCUAUGUUGCCCAGGCAGGACUCAAACUCCUGAAUGAUUGAUAUUCAGAAGUGAAGGGGCAGAUCCUGAUUGUUUGGUUUGCAAAAGGGGGUUCACUGAGGUGAGUUGUCAUAAAUUGAUUGAACAGAUUUCUUUUUCUGUUUCUUUUCUUUUUUUUUUUUUUGAGACAGGGUCUGGUUCUGUCACUUAGUCUGAGCGCA
rnacentral:lncRNA from 1 species